AACGAACGCUGGCGGCAUGCCUAACACAUGCAAGUCGAACGAGACCUUCGGGUCUAGUGGCGCACGGGUGCGUAACGCGUUGGAACCUGCCCUUAGGUUCGGAAUAACUCCCCGAAAGGGGUGCUAAUACCGGAUCAUGUCUUCGGACCAAAGAUUUAUCGCCUUUGGAUGGGCCCGCGUUGGAUUAGCUAGUUGGUAGGGUAAAAGCCUACCAAGGCGACGAUCCAUAGCUGGUCUGAGAGGAUGAUCAGCCACACUGGGACUGAGACACGGCCCAGACUCCUACGGGAGGCAGUAGUGGGGAAUAUUGGACAAUGGGCGAAAGCCUGAUCCAGCAAUGACGCGUGAGUGAUGAAGGCCUUAGGGUUGUAAAGCUCUUUUACCCGGGAUGAUAAUGACAGUACCGGGAGAAUAAGCUCCGGCUAACUCCGUG
rnacentral:rRNA from 1 species